rnacentral:rRNA from 1 species
AUUGAACGCUGGCGGCAGGCCUAACACAUGCAAGUCGAGCGGAGCGGCGGACGGGUGAGUAAUGCCUAGGUAUCUGCCUGGUCGUGGGGGAUAACGUCCGGAAACGGGCGCUAAUACCGCACACUCUCAGUUGAGCCUAGGGCGGAUUAGCUAGUUGGUGGGGUAAAGGCCUACCAAGGCGACGAUCCGUAACUGGUGUGAGUGGAUGAUCAGUCAAACUGGAACUGAGACACGGGCCAGACUCCGACGGGAGGCAGCAGGGGGGAAUAAUGGACAAUGGGCGAAAGCCUUAACCAGCCAUGCCGCGUGUGUGGAGAAGGGCUUCGGAUUGUAAAGCACUUUAAGUUGGGAGGCGUUACCAACAGAAUGAACACCGGCUAACUUCGUGCCAGCAGCCGCGGGAAUUC